rnacentral:rRNA from 1 species
UACGUAGGGCGCAAGCGUUGUCCGGAAUUAUUGGGCGUAAAGAGCUCGUAGGCGGCUUGUCACGUCGGGUGUGAAAGCCCGGGGCUUAACCCCGGGUCUGCAUUCGAUACGGGCUAGCUAGAGUGUGGUAGGGGAGAUCGGAAUUCCUGGUGUAGCGGUGAAAUGCGCAGAUAUCAGGAGGAACACCGGUGGCGAAGGCGGAUCUCUGGGCCAUUACUGACGCUGAGGAGCGAAAGCGUAGGGAGCGAACAGG